ACGACCUUACUUGAACAGGAUCUGUUCUAUAGGUUCGUAUCUCUAUGUCCUUAAGUUCAAAGGAGACAGGAUUCCUAGUCAUGGAACCAUGUGUGAUUACUGGUCUGGUGUUUCACUUCGACCGCAGAGGAUUGUUUUCAGCUUGCCUUGCGCGGCUGGGAAGGUCACGCAGUUGUCUGACAGACU
rfam:Gossypium raimondii chromosome 4, whole genome shotgun sequence.